UAAAAAGCAACAACAUCAACAUUAAAUGGGACCUAUAAGUUUUGCAAGAGUGCGUAAUGAAAUGCGUGAAAUGAAUGAGAACAAAGAAGACCCAUCACAGGUUGAUGUGUUUGUUGCAACUCGAACUGGACGAAAAGGAAAAGAGCUUGAUUCAGGAACACAAGUUGUUAUUGAUAAACUUAAG